CUAGCCCUAAACGAUGAUCGCUUGGUGUAUUGGGUACCCAAUCCCAAUGUGCCGGAGCUAACGCGUUAAGCGAUCCGCCUGGGGAGUACGGUCGCAAGACUGAAACUCAAAGGAAUUGACGGGGGCCCGCACAAGCGGUGGAGCAUGUGGUUCAAUUCGACGCAACGCGAAGAACCUUACCUGGGCUCGAAAUGCAGUGGACCGGGGUGGAAACAUCCCUUCCCGCAAGGGCUGCUGUAUAGGUGCUGCAUGGCUGUCGUCAGCUCGUGUCGUGAGAUGUUGGGUUAAGUCCCGCAACGAGCGCAACCCUUAUUGCCAGUUGCCAUCAUUAAGUUGGGCACUCUGGCGAAACCGCUCCGGAUAACGGGGAGGAA
rnacentral:rRNA from 1 species